rnacentral:rRNA from 2 species
AAAAAAGGUAAGCUACUAAGAGCGAAUGGUGGAUGCCUUGACUGGUAAAGGCGAUGAAGGACGUACUAGACUGCGAUAAGCUACGGGGAGCUGUCAAGAAGCUUUGAUCCGUAGAUUUCCGAAUGGGGCAACCCAAUGUAUAGAGAUAUACAUUACCUAUAUAGGAGCGAACGAGGGGAAUUGAAACAUCUUAGUACCCUCAGGAAAAGAAAUCAAUAGAGAUUGCGUCAGUAGCGGCGAGCGAAAGCGCAAGAGGGCAAACCCAGUGCUUGCACUGGGGGUUGUAGGACUGCAAUGUGCAAGAGGUAAGUUUAGCAGAACAUUCUGGAAAGUAUAACCAUAGAGGGUGAUAGUCCCGUAUGCGAAAAACAAACCUUAGCUAGCAGUAUCCUGAGUAGGGCGGGACACGAGGAAUCCUGUCUGAAUCCGGGUCGACCACGAUCCAACCCUAAAUACUAAUACCAGAUCGAUAGUGCACAAGUACCGUGAGGGAAAGGUGAAAAGAACUGAGGUGAUCAGAGUGAAAUAGAACCUGAAACCAUUUGCUUACAAUCAUUCAGAGCCCUAUGUAGCAAUACAGGGUGAUGGACUGCCUUUUGCAUAAUGAGCCUGCGAGUUGUGGUGUCUGGCAAGGUUAAGCAAACGCGAAGCCGUAGCGAAAGCGAGUCUGAAUAGGGCGCUUAGUCAGAUGCUGCAGACCCGAAACGAAGUGAUCUAUCCAUGAGCAAGUUGAAGCUAGUGUAAGAACUAGUGGAGGACUGAACCCAUAGGCGUUGAAAAGCCCCGGGAUGACUUGUGGAUAGGGGUGAAAGGCCAAUCAAACUUCGUGAUAGCUGGUUCUCUCCGAAAUAUAUUUAGGUAUAGCGUUGUGUCGUAAUAUAAGGGGGUAGAGCACUGAAUGGGCUAGGGCAUACACCAAUGUACCAAACCCUAUCAAACUCCGAAUACCUUAUAUGUAAUCACAGCAGUCAGGCGGCGAGUGAUAAAAUCCGUCGUCAAGAGGGAAACAACCCAGACUACCAGCUAAGGUCCCUAAAUCUUACUUAAGUGGAAAACGAUGUGAAGUUACUUAAACAACCAGGAGGUUGGCUUAGAAGCAGCCAUCCUUUAAAGAAAGCGUAAUAGCUCACUGGUCUAGUGAUUUUGCGCGGAAAAUAUAACGGGGCUAAAGUAAGUACCGAAGCUGUAGACUUAGUUUACUAAGUGGUAGGAGAGCGUUCUAUUUGCGUCGAAGGUAUACCGGUAAGGAGUGCUGGAGCGAAUAGAAGUGAGCAUGCAGGCAUGAGUAGCGAUAAUUAAUGUGAGAAUCAUUAACGCCGUAAACCCAAGGUUUCCUACGCGAUGCUCGUCAUCGUAGGGUUAGUCGGGUCCUAAGUCGAGUCCGAAAGGGGUAGACGAUGGCAAAUUGGUUAAUAUUCCAAUACCAACAUUAGUGUGCGAUGGAAGGACGCUUAGGGCUAAGGGGGCUAGCGGAUGGAAGUGCUAGUCUAAGGUCGUAGGAGGUUAUACAGGCAAAUCCGUAUAACAAUACUCCGAGAACUGAAAGGCUUUUUGAAGUCUUCGGAUGGAUAGAAGAACCCCUGAUGCCGUCGAGCCAAGAAAAGUUUCUAAGUUUAGCUAAUGUUGCCCGUACCGUAAACCGACACAGGUGGGUGGGAUGAGUAUUCUAAGGCGCGUGGAAGAACUCUCUUUAAGGAACUCUGCAAAAUAGCACCGUAUCUUCGGUAUAAGGUGUGGUUAGCUUUGUAUUAGGAUUUACUCCGAAAGCAAGGAAACUUACAACAAAGAGUCCCUCCCGACUGUUUACCAAAAACACAGCACUCUGCUAACUCGUAAGAGGAUGUAUAGGGUGUGACGCCUGCCCGGUGCUCGAAGGUUAAUUGAUGGGGUUAGCAUUAGCGAAGCUCUUGAUCGAAGCCCGAGUAAACGGCGGCCGUAACUAUAACGGUCCUAAGGUAGCGAAAUUCCUUGUCGGUUAAAUACCGACCUGCAUGAAUGGCGUAACGAGAUGGGAGCUGUCUCAAAGAGGGAUCCAGUGAAAUUGUAGUGGAGGUGAAAAUUCCUCCUACCCGCGGCAAGACGGAAAGACCCCGUGGACCUUUACUACAGCUUGACACUGCUACUUGGAUAAGAAUGUGCAGGAUAGGUGGGAGGCUUUGAGUAUAUGACGCCAGUUGUAUAUGAGCCAUUGUUGAGAUACCACUCUUUCUUAUUUGGGUAGCUAACCAGCUUGAGUUAUCCUCAAGUGGGACAAUGUCUGGUGGGUAGUUUGACUGGGGCGGUCGCCUCCCAAAUAAUAACGGAGGCUUACAAAGGUUGGCUCAGAACGGUUGGAAAUCGUUCGUAGAGUAUAAAGGUAUAAGCCAGCUUAACUGCAAGACAUACAAGUCAAGCAGAGACGAAAGUCGGUCUUAGUGAUCCGGUGGUUCUGUGUGGAAGGGCCAUCGCUCAAAGGAUAAAAGGUACCCGGGGAUAACAGGCUGAUCUCCCCCAAGAGCUCACAUCGACGGGGAGGUUUGGCACCUCGAUGUCGGCUCAUCGCAUCCUGGGGCUGGAGCAGGUCCCAAGGGUAUGGCUGUUCGCCAUUUAAAGCGGUACGCGAGCUGGGUUCAGAACGUCGUGAGACAGUUCGGUCCCUAUCUGCCGUGGGCGUAAGAAGAUUGAAGAGAUUUGACCCUAGUACGAGAGGACCGGGUUGAACAAACCACUGGUGUAGCUGUUGUUCUGCCAAGAGCAUCGCAGCGUAGCUAAGUUUGGAAAGGAUAAACGCUGAAAGCAUCUAAGCGUGAAGCCAACUCUAAGAUGAAUCUUCUCUAAGCUCUCUAGAAGACUACUAGUUUGAUAGGCUGGGUGUGUAAUGGAUGAAAGUCCUUUAGCUGACCAGUACUAAUAGAGCGUUUGGCUUAUCUUUAAUAAAGCAU